rnacentral:rRNA from 1 species
UGGGGAAUAUUGGACAAUGGGCGCAAGCCUGAUCCAGCCAUGCCGCGUGAGUGAAGAAGGCCCUAGGGUUGUAAAUCUCUUUCGGCGGGGAAGAUGAUGACGGUACCCGCAGAAGAAGCCCCGGCUAACUCCGUGCCAGCAGCCGCGGUAAUACGGAGGGGGCAAGCGUUGUUCGGAAUUACUGGGCGUAAAGGGCGCGUAGGCGGCUGAUCAAGUCAGGGGUGAAAGGCCUGGGCUCAACCUAGGAACUGCCCUUGAAACUGAUUGGCUUGAGGACGGGAGAGGAUGGCGGAAUUCCCAGUGUAGAGGUGAAAUUCGUAGAUAUUGGGAAGAACACCAGUGGCGAAGGCGGCCAUCUGGCCCGUUACUGACGCUGAGGCGCGAAAGCGUGGGGAGCAAACAGGAUUAGAUACCCCCGUAGUCC